GUGGGCUGCUUUGAGUUUUCGGAUGUCGUGACGUUAGGUCCAUUUCUAUGGGGCCCGCUGAGUCGUCUCUCCGUGUGAUUCGGGAGCGUCCAUGGUCGUCUCCCCGUGCAAUUCGGGGAGCGCCUGCGUCACAAUGUGGGAUGCCACCCGGGAUAACCAGAGACUGGACUAGUUUCCUGUUUAGUAGCUUCCAGUACAACCACAUGAUAUUAUGGGCUCUGCCAGGAUGGAUGUAAGAAAUAUGAACCUGGAUCCGAGGUGACAUCGGUAUGUAGCAGUGUAGG
rnacentral:lncRNA from 1 species